rnacentral:lncRNA from 1 species
CUAUAAUGUAUCUCCAUGAAAAGCUAUGAAUAUAUAUAUAUAUAUAUAUAAUUCUUUUUGGAGAUUUUACUGCACAUAUCUAUUCUAGUACAAACUAGCUAUUAGCAUGCAACUCUGGGCAACAUUUUGCCAAGUCAAGGUGAGAUUAUGCCAAAAACUGUAAGACAUUCACUUUACCACAAAGUAACACUAUAUACAAGUACCGCACCAUGCAUCAUAUUAAAGAUCUUGUCAUCCACUGCCUAUAAGAUGCCUCACUUGAUAAACGAAUCAACCAACCCCCAUUACACUACCAUAAUUCUUCUUCACAAUCUAAUUUCAAAAUACAUCUUUCCCACUACCUAUUAUCACGUCAAUUUCCCCAUAUACUGCAAGAUUCAGCAACAUUUAAAACAAAUUGUAACCCAACCAACCAAGUGGUAUCCACAAUUGCCUUGACCAUUCCAUUCAAAGAAAUGGUGGAUUUUGUAAAACAGUUUUUAAGCUAUAAGUGAAGGGCCAGUAAAUGAAGACAUUAACAUAACAUUUUAACAUACAAAUACAAUUAAGAUUUCAGGACAUUGUAAUAGACAGAUGUAAUCAGGGUAAGUAGGCAACUAAAUCUCAGAGAGUGACCCAACAAAGAGAUCAUAUAUAACAACCUCAAUAGAAGUGCAAGGAAUCCAACAAUGAUAAUGAAAAAAUUAAUCACACCAAAAUGCACAGCAUGCUCCAUCUGCUUCAGUCACUAAAUUCAAAUUUCCUCAAGAUUUUCCCCAAAAAAUGACAUCUAUGUGAACCCAUAAACUAUACACAAUAAAGGAUGAACAGAAACAUUAAGGAAUGAACAUUGCACCAGAGUUAGCAGCUGCAAACAUAAACUAUAAUCCAGAGUGCUUAAGCAGAAAAAUCACAGACUGAAUUGAUUGAAAGUCUUGUGUUUACAAUAUUGUUGACCUUAUUCUUGUGGAGGGCUUUGAUGGGUCUACAUAGAGCUGAAUAGCAGACAAAUAAGGAACAUAGUACAUAACAGAGUCACUCCCAUUUUGUGACCCAUGCACCGUACGCACUCCAGUCCUUGAAAGACUCCCAUAAAUCUCCAUGUACAAAGUAGGGAUGUAACUCUGGCUCAUGAGUCCUCCAUCUCCUCACGCUUGUCUAUCCAUCACCAAAAUGGGACCUCAUGAGAAAAGCAUGUAUAAUUACAGUAACAAUAAAUAUUAUACCAGGUAGAAAACUUGAAAACCCAAUAUGUAUAAUUCUUCAAGUAGAAAACUUUAACUAAAGUUAGACAGACAAGUUGUAUUGAGCUCAGUUUGGAGUGUUUAGAAGUGAUAAAGAUAACCCAAUACUCAUAGUACUUUCUCAUCUUCCUCUGAUUCUAAAAAUAAAUAGUAUACAUGUACACAUACAUGUCUCUUCUUCAGUUAGACUCUCAUAGUACUUUAUAAAUCUCUCCUCUGAAGGUGAAAUAACACACAAGAUUCAACAAAAUGGCAAGACAAAAAAAAAAAUAGAAAAUAUAAAGAACAAAAAAUAAAUAAAUAAAUAAACCCAGGAGAUUUGUACCAUUCCAAAACCCUUUAUCUGUUAAUGCCUUUGUAAAAAUUUACAAUUUAGGUUAUACACAAGAAUUCAUAUAAAGCAAAUCGAAGAUAUAAAUAAGCUACAAAUCAAACAUAACCCAAAUGAAAAUUAAUCCCUAAUCUUCAGUAACAAGGACAAAAAGGGAACUCAAUUACCCGAUUGCAGAUAUUGAAGAUGAGCAACUCCAAAUCAAAGCGAGACAAUGGUCUGCGUCUGUGCAGUGGAGUGUGACAUCGAGUAGGCGGCGAGGGCGGUCCUCAGAUGCCCAGCCCUAAAAGUUACUGAUGAGAGAGAGAGAGAGAGAGAGAGAGAGAGAGAGAGAGAGCUUCUGCCAUGGAGGCUUGAGG